rnacentral:rRNA from 1 species
UGGGGAAUUUUGGACAAUGUGCGCAAGCCUGAUCCAUCCAUUCCGCGUGCGGGAAGAAGGCCUUCGGGUUGUAAACCGCUUUUGUCAGCGAAGAAAUCCUUUUAGCUAAUACCUCGGGGGGAUGACGGUACCUGAAGAAUAAUCACCGACUAACUACGUGCCAGCAGCCGCGGUAAUACGUAGGGUGCAAGCGUUAAUCGGAAUUACUGGGCGUAAAGCGUGCGCAGGCGGUUAUGCAAGACAGAUGUGAAAUCCCCGGGCUCAACCUGGGAACUGCAUUUGUGACUGCAUAGCUGGAGUGAGGCAGAGGAGGAUGGAAUAGCGCGUGUAGCAGUGAAAUGCGUAGAUAUGAGGAGGAACACCGAUGGCGAAGGCAAUCCCCUGGGCCUGCAAUGACGCUCAUGCACGAAAGCGUGGGGAGCAAACA